rnacentral:tRNA from 3 species
GGAAGGUUGGGUGAGUGGCUGAAACCACCAGUUUGCUAAACUGACGUACGGGCAACCGUACCGGGGGUUCGAAUCCCCCACCUUCCG